rnacentral:rRNA from 1 species
UACGUAGGCAGCGAGCGUUGUUCGGAGUUACUGGGCGUAAAGGGUGUGUAGGCGGUUCUUUAAGUUUGGUGUGAAAUCUCCCGGCUCAACCGGGAGGGUGCGUCGAAUACUGAGGGACUAGAGUGCGGGAGAGGAAAGUGGAAUUCCUGGUGUAGCGGUGAAAUGCGUAGAUAUCGGGAGGAACACCCGCGGUGUAGACGGCCUGCUGGACCACGACUGACGCUGAGGCACGAAAGCGUGGGGAGCAAACAGG